CCCUGAGGUGAAAUGGUGAGCACAGAUGGAAAUUUUGGCCUGGGCUGCACGGGAACAGGUUUCCUGGAGACUGUUCGGCAAAGCAGGGAAUUAGACGUGUCUCAGUCGCAGCCACGAGCUGGGAAGGAGCAAAGGCAGACAGCGCCUUGGGGUUAACAGGAGGGUUACUGGUUGGUAUUAGCCAAGCCUGAUCAAUCCUGCCAAGAAAGGUGAGGAGGUAUAUCAGGAGCUCGGAAUCCCCUCACCUCUCCUUGUCAAAAAGGAGCUUAUGGUCCUGGUGAACCCCAGGUUUUUGGGCAUGGCUCUCACUGGAGAAAGGAGAACCUAUCAAGGAGGUGUCUUCUGGGUCCCAUCCUACCCUGGUGCAAUGCGGGAAACAACAGCUAACAGUUUGACUCGCAGCCUGCCAGACCUCAUGGAUCUUGAGGCUUAAAUGUAUCUCAGAUGUGCGAUAUACAUGUAUCACACUGUAUUUAUGACCCUGGAGCUUAUUUGUUUGUUUGUUUUUUCAUUUGAUGAUAAAUCAUUGACAUCUUUUGCUCAUGUCAGCACAUACAGAUCUAAUCCUCCCUCUUUUCUAAU
ensembl:lncRNA